rnacentral:rRNA from 1 species
GGGUGCAGCGCGUCUAUCUGCAGUCGAGCGGAUGAGAGGGACUGGUUGCAUGAUUGACGGGUGGACGGGUGAGGUAUGCCUACGAGUCUGCCUGCUGCCGUGGGACCUGGUAUUCCUACGAACGCUGGUACCUCAUACCUCCUACUUUAUAUUGCGGGGGAGCUUCAGACCGUACGGUAUCACAUGAUCCUACUUCGGAAUGGCUCUGCGGCGAGGUAACUGCUCGCCGGGCGACGAUCCACCACUGGUACGAUACGAUGACCACCCUCACUGGGAGCUGCAGACACGGCUCGCGACUGCCUACACGGAGCGCAACUCCGGGGAAUAGGUGGACAAUGGGCAACUUCCUGAUCCAGCCAUGCCCCGAGUGAGAAGCACGUCUUCAGAGUGGAAAGCUCUUCUGAUUGGGAGCACUGUCGCCAAGGAAAAACCUCGCCGAUAUGACCUGCCCGACGAAAGACGCACCUUCUAACUUCAUGCCCGCCUCCCCGCGAAUCCGAAGGCUGCGAGCGUCAAUCGGAGUUACUGGUCGCCAAACUCGCGGAGCUGGUUCCUCGCGCUGGAUGUUCUUGCCCCCGGGUCAUCCUGCCCACUGCUUCACAUACUGGCGAGCUGGAGUCUGGCAAACGGUAGUGCAAUUUACUGUAUAGCAAUCCCACGCGUAGAUAUAAGAUGGAACAACAUUGGCAAAAGCAACCACCUGGACUGCUACUCACUCUGAUGUGCCAAAGCGUGGGGAGCAAACAGGAUUAGCUACCGUGGUAGUCCACGCAGUAAACGAUGUCGAGUAGCCGGGGGGAUCCUUGAGAUCGUAGUGGAGCAGAUAACGCAUUAAGUCGACCGCGGGGGGAGUGCGGCCACAAGGUUAAAACUCAGAAGAAUUGGGGGGGGCCCGCACAAGCGGUGGAGCAUGUGGUAUAAUUAGAAGCAACGAGAAGAACCUUAACAGGCCGUGACACGCAGAGAACUUUCCAGAGAUGGAUUGGCGCCUUGGGGAAAUCUGACACAGGUGCUGCAUGGCUGUCGUCAGCUCGUGUCGUGAGAUGGGGGGAUAAGUCCCGUAAAGAGCGCAACCCUUGUCUUUAGUCACCAGCACGUGGAGGGGGGCACUGAAAGGAGACCGGCGGCGACAAGCAGGAGGAAGGGGGGGACGACGACAAGUCAUCAUGGCCAUGACGGCGGGGGCACCACACGUGCAACAGUGGGCGGAACAAGGGGUGAACAAGCGAGGAGGAGGAGAUCAUCCCAAAAACCGUAUCGUAGUGGGGAUCAGCAGUGCACAACUCGAGCGCGAGAUGUAGAAAUCGGUAGUAAUGGGAAUGCAGAAUGUCGGGGAGAACGUUGUUCGGGGGCGUGCACACACCGCGUCGUCACCCCGAGAGAGUGAGCACUCCAGAAGGAGGUAGUAUAACGUUAGGGAGCCACGCUACCGAAGAUGAUCGAAUGUGG